rnacentral:rRNA from 1 species
UGCAAGUCGAACGGGACUUAUUUUGUAGCAAUACAAGGUAAGUUCAGUGGCGCAAGGGUGCGUAACACGUGGGGAAUCUGCCGAGAAGUGGGGGAUAGCUCGCCGAAAGGCGAAUUAAUACCGCAUGUGACCAGGGAGGACAUCCUUCCGACGUCAAAGCCGGGGCAACCUGGCGCUUCUUGAUGACCCCGCGGCCUAUCAGCUAGUUGGUGAGGUAACGGCUCACCAAGGCUAUGACGGGUAGCUGGUCUGAGAGGACGAUCAGCCACACCGGAACUGAGACACGGUCCGGACUCCUACGGGAGGCAGCAGUGGGGAAUAUUGGACAAUGGGCGAAAGCCUGAUCCAGCGACGCCGCGUGGGUGAAGAAGGCCUUCGGGUUGUAAAGCCCUUUAAGCCGGGACGAAAAAGCGUGACCUAAUACGUCACGCCUUGACGGUACCGGAAGAAUAAGCACCGGCUAACUCUGUGCCAGCAGCCGCGGUAAUACAGAGGGUGCGAGCGUUAAUCGGAUUUACUGGGCGUAAAGCGUGUGUAGGUGGCUACCUAAGUCGAUUGUGAAAUCCCUGGGCUCAACCUGGGAAUUGCAGUCGAUACUGGGUAGCUCGAGUUCGGUAGAGGGUGACGGAAUUCCCGGUGUAGCGGUGAAAUGCGUAGAUAUCGUAAGGAAGACCAGUGGCGAAGGCGAAUCUCUGGACAGUUACUGACACUGAGGCACGAAGGCCAGGGGAGCAAACGGGAUUAGAUACCCCGGUAGUCCUGGCAGUAAACGGUGCGCGUUUGGUGUGGGAGGAUUCGACCCCUUCUGUGCCGGAGCUAACGCGUUAAACGCGCCGCCUGGGGAGUACGGUCGCAAGAUUAAAACUCAAAGAAAUUGACGGGGGCCCGCACAAGCGGUGGAGUAUGUGGCUUAAUUCGAUGCAACGCGAA